rnacentral:miRNA from 1 species
ACCGGCUGGACGGUAGGCAUA